rnacentral:rRNA from 1 species
UUUUUUCGGUGCAAGAUGAGCUCGCGGCCUAUCAGCUUGUUGGUGGGGUAAUGGCCUACCAAGGCGUCGACGGGUAGCCGGCCUGAGAGGGUGUACGGCCACAUUGGGACUGAGAUACGGCCCAGACUCCUACGGGAGGCAGCAGUGGGGAAUAUUGCACAAUGGGCGGAAGCCUGAUGCAGCGACGCCGCGUGGGGGAUGACGGCCUUCGGGUUGUAAACUCCUUUCGACAGGGACGAAGCUUUUUGUGACGGUACCUGUAUAAGAAGCACCGGCUAACUACGUGCCAGCAGCCGCGGUAAUACGUAGGGUGCGAGCGUUGUCCGGAAUUACUGGGCGUAAAGAGCUCGUAGGUGGUUUGUCGCGUCGUCUGUGAAAUUCCGGGGCUUAACUUCGGGCGUGCAGGCGAUACGGGCAUAACUUGAGUGCUGUAGGGGAGACUGGAAUUCCUGGUGUAGCGGUGAAAUGCGCAGAUAUCAGGAGGAACACCGAUGGCGAAGGCAGGUCUCUGGGCAGUUACUGACGCUGAGGAGCGAAAG